rnacentral:rRNA from 1 species
GAUGAACGCUAGCUACAGGCUUAACACAUGCAAGUCGAGGGGCAUCAGGAAGAAAGCUUGCUUUCUUUGCUGGCGACCGGCGCACGGGUGAGUAACACGUAUCCAACCUGCCCUUUACUCGGGGAUAGCCUUUCGAAAGAAAGAUUAAUACCCGAUGGCAUAAUGAUUCCGCAUGGUUUCAUUAUUAAAGGAUUCCGGUAAAGGAUGGGGAUGCGUUCCAUUAGGUUGUUGGUGAGGUAACGGCCCACCAAGCCUUCGAUGGAUAGGGGUUCUGAGAGGAAGGUCCCCCACAUUGGAACUGAGACACGGUCCAAACUCCUACGGGAGGCAGCAGUGAGGAAUAUUGGUCAAUGGGCGCUAGCCUGAACCAGCCAAGUAGCGUGAAGGAUGAAGGCUCUAUGGGUCGUAAACUUCUUUUAUAUAAGAAUAAAGUGCAGUAUGUAUACUGUUUUGUAUGUAUUAUAUGAAUAAGGAUCGGCUAACUCCGUGCCAGCAGCCGCGGUAAUACGGAGGAUCCGAGCGUUAUCCGGAUUUAUUGGGUUUAAAGGGAGCGUAGGUGGACUGGUAAGUCAGUUGUGAAAGUUUGCGGCUCAACCGUAAAAUUGCAGUUGAUACUGUCAGUCUUGAGUACAGUAGAGGUGGGCGGAAUUCGUGGUGUAGCGGUGAAAUGCUUAGAUAUCACGAAGAACUCCGAUUGCGAAGGCAGCUCACUGGACUGCAACUGACACUGAUGCUCGAAAGUGUGGGUAUCAAACAGG